AAGGUGCAAGCGUUGCUCGGAAUCACUGGGCGUAAAGGGUGCGUAGGCGGCCGUGUAAGUCUGGCGUGAAAGCCCCGGGCUCAGCCCGGGAAGUGCGCUCGAAACUGCGCGGCUCGAGUGCCGGAGGGGAGAGUGGAAUUCCUGGUGUAGCGGUGAAAUGCGUAGAUAUCAGGAGGAAUACCGGUGGCGAAAGCGACUCUCUGGACGGCAACUGACGCUGAGGCACGAAAGCGUGGGGAGCAAACAGG
rnacentral:rRNA from 1 species